UACGUAGGGUGCAAGCGUUGUCCGGAAUUAUUGGGCGUAAAGAGCUCGUAGGCGGUUUGUUGCGUCGGCUGUGAAAUCCCGAGGCUCAACCUCGGGUCUGCAGUCGAUACGAGCAAACUAGAGUGUUGCAGGGGAGACUGGAAUUCCUGGUGUAGCGGUGAAAUGCGCAGAUAUCAGGAGGAACACCGGUGGCGAAGGCGGGUCUCUGGGCCUGUCCUGACGCUCAGGCGCGAAAGCUAGGGGAGCAAACAGG
rnacentral:rRNA from 1 species